rnacentral:rRNA from 1 species
UAGUAUGGGGAUCUGCCCGAUAGAGGGGAAUAACUACUGGAAAUGGUGGCUAAUACCGCAUAAUGUCUACGGACCAAAGCAGGGGCUCUUCGGACCUUGCACUAUCGGAUGAACCCAUAUGGGAUUAGCUAGUAGGUGGGGUAAAGGCUCACCUAGGCGACGAUCUCUAGCUGGUCUGAGAGGAUGAUCAGCCACACUGGGACUGAGACACGGCCCAG